rnacentral:lncRNA from 1 species
ACAGAACCUAUUCUCUGGGGAAGAACUGACAUAGGAGACGUGACUAAGUUGCAGUUGACACAUGCAACCUCAAAGAGAAAAGUUUGAGGAAAUCACUUCAAGGACAAAAAAUUGCAAUGUAAAGAGAAUUAUUUAUCUCCAAAUUCCAGAUUACCCCCCUGCCCAACCCCUGCCAGCAGCACCGUCCACAUGGUUUCUCAUUUAGUUUUGUGUUAGUUUAACAAAGUAGACUCUGCAAUCUGGAUAAAAUAGUAAGUCACCUCAGAUGGAUCUGAGAACGCUGUCUGGGCUUGGUACCAAGAGCUGGUAUUUCACAGCAGCGACCGCCUCACAGACGAGCUGUGGGAAGCAGGAGGGAGACUCUCUCUUAGGGUGCCACUACUAUGGAGACACAGCUGGGCUGAACAAGAUUUGCUUCAAACGACAACAAGAGAGACAGAAAGUAUCUGGUUCAACCGCUGCCCGAGCAGGCAGGCACCAGAAGAGCUAGCAGCCAAUCCGGCCAUGCUCGAAGCCAGCUCUGCAGCUCAGCCAAUCAGUGACAUCAUUGGUGAGAAACUCAUUUACAUCAUGCAGUAAUGAACUUUGUUUAACAUAGACUUCCCCCUU